UGAAUCCUAACCGCCGCUGCUGUCAGAAGAACGAACCUGGAAGGAGAAGGACGAGGUCCGUUCUUGCACCGUCCUGCUCCACCGCCGCCGCUGCCGUCGAUUGGGGUCACACCGUUGCUGUUGCGCCCUGUUUUCGUUGAUAGAGCCACUAUUGAGAGUCUGUCGUCAGAGAAGCAUCGUCGGCGUUGCUGCUGCGAACUAUUUCAGCUACUGCCCUGGAGUGAGAACGCCGUCGAACAGAAUGUGAGAAGGGAGAGGAGUUGUGUUCUUUCGUUGUCGCCGUCGUUGCCGAAACCAAGACAAAUUUACCGGAGAUAGUGUUGAUGAUAAUAAAGAACUGUUAGAGUUGCUGCUGCUGCUAGUUUGGUUCGAGUCUGUUGCUGCUACAAACUAAAACAAAAGAGGGGUUUGCUGCGCUUAAUUAUCGAAUUUCGGCUAAUCGAGAACUGAUGAGGUAAUCAACACUCAAUUGAUGGUUUCUCGGUAAAUUCUCCAAAAAUGGGUCAAGCAUUGUUCUCCAUAUUUCAGCUGGAAAUAUUGGCAUUACAUUUGCAGCAU